rnacentral:misc_RNA from 1 species
UCGAGUGUUUAAACCAUUUCUUUAGGAAGUGGUUACCUCCCGUCCUUUGCUGAUGGCCCCCCUUUUUUUUAGGGGGGCUUUUUCAGAAAACCUUCUGCUUCGGUGUGGUUUAUACCCACCGGAACACCCUCAAAAAUUCUCUUUUAAAAACUGUUCAGUCCGAGAAAAUUUUAAAAUUGAAA